rnacentral:rRNA from 1 species
GCGAAAACUUUACAAUGCUGGCAACAGCGAUAAGGGAACCUCGAGUGCCAGGUUACAAAUCUGGCUGUCGAGAUGCCUAAAAAGCGUUUCAUAGCAAGGGCCGGGCAAGACCGGUGCCAGCCGCCGCGGUAACACCGGCGGCUCGAGUGGUAACCGUUAUUAUUGGGUCUAAAGGGUCUGUAGCCGGCCGGAUAAGUCUCUUGAGAAAUCUGGCAGCUUAACUGUCAGGCUUUCAGGAGAUACCGUCUGGCUCGAGGCCGGGAGAGGUGAGAGGUACUUCAGGGGUAGGGGUGAAAUCUUGUAAUCCUUGAAGGACCACCAGUGGCGAAGGCGUCUCACCAGAACGGACCUGACGGCAAGGGACGAAAGCUAGGGGCACGAACC